rnacentral:misc_RNA from 1 species
UACGUAGGUGGCAAGCGUUAUCCGGAAUUAUUGGGCGUAAAGCGCGCGCAGGUGGUUUCUUAAGUCUGAUGUGAAAGCCCACGGCUCAACCGUGGGAGGUCAUUGGAAACUGGGAAACUUGAGUACAGAAGAGGAAAGUGGAAUUCCACGUGUAGCGGUGAAAUGCGUAGAUAUGUGGAGGAACACCAGUGGCGAAGGCGACUUUCUGGUCUGUAACUGACACUGAGGCGCGAAAGCGUGGGGAGCAAACAGG